CAGUCGCCGCGGUAAUACGAAGGGUGCAAGCGUUAAUCGGAAUUACUGGGCGUAAAGCGUGCGUAGGAGGUUUGUUAAGUCUGUUGUGAAAUCCCCGGGCUCAACCUGGGAAUGGCAAUGGAUACUGGCAAGCUAGAGUGUGUCAGAGGAUGGUGGAAUUCCCGGUGUAGCGGUGAAAUGCGUAGAGAUCGGGAGGAACAUCAGUGGCGAAGGGGGCCAUCUGGGACAACACUGACGCUGAGGCACGAAAGCGUGGGGAGCAAACAGGAUUAGAUACCCGAGUAGUCCCUGUCUCUUAUAC
rnacentral:rRNA from 1 species